CAGUCGCCGCGGUAACAUGUAGGUGGCGAGCGUUGUCCGGAAUCAUUGGGCGUAAAGGGAGCGCAGGCGGGCAUGUAAGUCUUUCUUAAAAGUUCGGGGCUCAACCCCGUGAUGGGAAAGAAACUACAUGUCUUGAGUACAGGAGAGGAAAGCGGAAUUCCCAGUGUAGCGGUGAAAUGCGUAGAUAUUGGGAGGAACACCAGUGGCGAAGGCGGCUUUCUGGACUGCAACUGACGCUGAGGCUCGAAAGCCAGGGGAGCGAACGGGAUUAGAUACCCCUGUAGUCCCUGUCUCUUAUACC
rnacentral:rRNA from 1 species